rnacentral:rRNA from 1 species
UACGGGGGGUGCGAGCGUUGUUCGGAAUUACUGGGCGUAAAGCGUGCGCAGGCGGCGCCAUAAGACAGAUGUGAAAUCCCCGGGCUUAACCUGGGAACUGCGUUUGUGACUGUGGUGCUCGAGUGCGGCAGAGGGGGGUGGAAUUCCACGUGUAGCAGUGAAAUGCGUAGAGAUGUGGAGGAACACCGAUGGCGAAGGCAGCCCCCUGGGCCAGCACUGACGCUCAUGCACGAAAGCGUGGGGAGCGAACCGG